AAGUGAGCGCGACCCCGCACACGAAAACGGGGAAACACCCAUGCGCCGACAAAGGUACUCACUCCCGCGCACUGGGUAGGCGGAAUGCUGAGCGGCAUCGCCGGCAUCUGUCUGUGCGCGGUAGGCGGCACAGGUGGCGCUUCUGCCUGUUGUGCGGCAUGCUCCCGCAUGCCCUGACGUGUGUUCCUUCCCCGAUUGCCCGCGCAGCUCGAGCGCUGGCGGUGCGGCGCCGGUGGUGUCGGCGGAUUGUCGCGGCGGUGCCGUGCGUGAGGGCCGCGACGAUGGCGGUGCUUUUGUGUGCCGGUGUCUCCACCGGCGGUGCUGUGGUCGAUGUGUCUUCUGCUGUGUGGGCCUAUGGAGGGGGCUGGUGCUGGGCUGCGACGGUGCGUGGUGGGCGGUGCUGCAUCCCGCCCGCACACACACUGAGGCCGCCCCGCCUCCCCUGCGCACGCAGGUGCUGCUAGGGCAACGCCGAAACGAGAAUGACGCAGCGGGAGGCCCCCGUGCGGUAGGUUGUGCGACUGCGUGUCUUUGCACCGUCUUCCCUCGUCCUCGCGGUGCGGCGCGCGACUUGUUUGCAGCCGCGGCUAAACGAAG
rnacentral:misc_RNA from 1 species